rnacentral:rRNA from 1 species
GACGAACCGUGCGAACGUUGUUCGGAAUCACUGGGCUUAAAGGGCUCGUAGGCGGCCAACUAAGUCAGACGUGAAAUCCCUCGGCUUAACCGGGGAACUGCGUCUGAUACUGGAUGGCUUGAGUUUGGGAGAGGGAUGCGGAAUUCCAGGUGUAGCGGUGAAAUGCGUAGAUAUCUGGAGGAACACCGGUGGCGAAGGCGGCAUCCUGGACCAACACUGACGCUGAGUGAGCGAAAGCCAGGGGAGCAAACGGG